GCUCUUAUAGCUUAGAGGUAGAGCGCCUAUCCGCUAUUACCUAUUUAGUUCUACUACUAAUCUAGUGGAUCUAAAAAGGCAGAUAGGAGAUCCUAGGUUCGAUUUCUAGUAAGACCA
rnacentral:tRNA from 1 species